rnacentral:rRNA from 1 species
UACGGGGGGAGCAAGCGUUGUUCGGAUUUACUGGGCGUAAAGGGCGCGUAGGCGGCCAGCACAAGUCAGUUGUGAAAUCUCCGAGCUUAACUCGGAACGGUCAACUGAUACUGUGCGGCUAGAGUGCGGAAGGGGCAACUGGGAAUUCUUGGUGUAGCGGUGAAAUGCGUAGAUAUCAAGAGGAACACCUGCGGCGAAGGCGGGUUGCUGGGCCGACACGUGACGCUGAGGCGCGAAAGCCAGGGGAGCGAACGGG